rnacentral:lncRNA from 1 species
CAAGCUUUGCGCGGCUGUCUUUGUCGAUUUACCGAUUUAAGCAGCGAGAUGUAGUUAAUUUUUAAGAAACGGAACUUUCGCCAACGAAAAAAUCCGAAAUUGAUCAGUAUGGACCAACAAAAUUAAAUUGAUAAAUUAUAUCGAUCUGUCUCAAGGGAGAAGGGAAGGCGAGAACAAAAGUAAUAACCGUCGGUGUUUUUAGACACAAAUGGAAUUACAGAUAAAUUAGAAACUUGCAAGUUUUCAAGUUUGAACACUAAAAGAUGUCAAAAAAUUGAGACGUAUUGUAUUCGGCAAUAACAAGACCUUGUUAUUUUAACAACCAAAAACUAAGUGCCUACAAUAAUUUGCAAUUGAAACUAUUACAAGAAGGGAUUAAAGAUUAAGCUAGAUUGCUUGACCCUAAAGUUGUGAAAGACUUUUUGAAAAGUAGAGGAAUUGGAUGUUUUUGAACUGCGGAAUGCAGGUUAAAACUGCGAUAUAUAUAUUUUGCUGGUGUUCUUGAAAACACGAGAUUUUUUUACAAAUCGUAUCAUCUCAUUGUAGGCAAAAUCUGAUGUUUUUUUUUUGCUGGUAACAUGUGAUGUAGCGGAUCUAAACUACACUACACUAUAUUAGAGCGGGAAGCAAAUAUAUCUCGCUAUAAUUGUUAGGGACUAAAAAAUGUGGCUACAAGUCGUAGCAUUCAACGGAAGCUUUUUGUUACUUUUUACUCCCUUUGAUACUGGGAUUUUUUUAAACUAUCGGAAGGGUUAAAGUUGUACAUUCCGCUGAACACAGAUAGUAAAAAAAAUCGUUUGACAAAAAAAAAAAAAUUUGUUUUCCGUUUUUUGUUUGGAAUCCGUCUAGGUCGUUAGUAAUUUAACAAUUUCAGCGAAAGACAGCAAUUGAAUGGGUUUUAAUUUUCGGUACAAAGAGAAUUGACUUUUUAUGAAGCGACUACGAAGGACACUUGAUAUUGCUAUUUUCAACAAAAAAUAACAUAAUGUCGAUAAUUAAACUACCACGGCUUGUAAAUAGAAAAUAGCACUGAAGCGACCUGUGAAAUUGUCAGCGUGCUAUUGCUAAACAAUGAUUCCGUGUAAUUUUAUAUGAUUGUGCUUUCAUAACAGAUGUGCAUGCGUAGAAAGAAAAGCUAUAAACAAUCAACAUAGAAUACCAUUCACACUAGGAGUAGCAUACCUUAAACUCAUAGGAUCCAAUGAAUUAACUUGCAAAUCCAUUUAAUAGUUAGAUUGACUGAUUUGUACCAAAUUGGUAAAAUGCCGGUCCCCAUCCCCUCUAAAAAAAGGACUCUUUUAUUUACCGGGAUGCCAUUGACAUCUCUUCUGUUUUGCAUGUUUUGGAAUUGAAAAUGCAAUAAUAAAAAGGAAUCAAUAAUUUUGGAUUCCUGUCUAAUAAUUGACGGUUUUGUUAUCUUGGUUGAAAAAUCCAUCCCAGCUGCCUAAAAGCUGCUACAACCUUUGUUUAAUUAGUGCGACACAGUUAAAAAUACUAUAUGUUUCGUAAUACAGUGGAUGAUUUCCAUUAAACUUUUGACUAGAUCAGCAGCGAUUUUUAAAGUACAUUAUACCUUAGCC